AUUGAACGCUGGCGGCAUGCCUUACACAUGCAAGUCGAACGGCAGCGCGGGAGCAAUCCUGGCGGCGAGUGGCGAACGGGUGAGUAAUAUAUCGGAACGUGCCCAGUAGUGGGGGAUAGCCCGGCGAAAGCCGGAUUAAUACCGCAUGAGACCUGAGGGUGAAAGCGGGGGAUCGCAAGACCUCGCGCUACUGGAGCGGCCGAUAUCAGAUUAGCUAGUUGGUGGGGUAAAGGCCUACCAAGGCAACGAUCUGUAGUUGGUCUGAGAGGACGACCAGCCACACUGGGACUGAGACACGGCCCAGACUCCUACGGGAGGCAGCAGUGGGGAAUUUUGGACAAUGGGCGCAAGCCUGAUCCAGCAAUGCCGCGUGCAGGAAGAAGGCCUUCGGGUU
rnacentral:rRNA from 1 species